UGAACGCUGGCGGCGUGCUUAACACAUGCAAGUCGAACGGAGUUUAUAAGCGGAAGUCUUCGGAUGGAAGCUUAUAACUUAGUGGCGGACGGGUGAGUAACGCGUGGGUAACCUGCCUUAGUACAGGGGGAUAACAGCUGGAAACGGCUGCUAAUACCGCAUAAGCGCACAGUACUGCAUGGUACCGUGUGAAAAAGAUUAUAUCGGUAUAAGAUGGACCCGCGUCUGAUUAGCUAGUUGGUGGGGUAACGGCCUACCAAGGCGACGAUCAGUAGCCGGCUUGAGAGAGUGAACGGCCACAUUGGGACUGAGACACGGCCCAAACUCCUACGGGAGGCAGCAGUGGGGAAUAUUGCACAAUGGGGGAAACCCUGAUGCAGCCGACGCCGCGUGAGUGAAGAAGUAUUUCGGUAUGUAAAGCUCUAUCAGCAGGGACGAUAAUGACGGUACCUGACUAAGAAGCCCCGGCUAACUACGUGCCAGCCGCUGC
rnacentral:rRNA from 1 species